CCCCUGGGGGUGGUGCACGCGCUCAUUGGGCCUUGAGCCUCCCGCCGCCGCCGCUGCACCGCCCCCGGGCUUCGACCCGCCCCCUCUGGCCUCUGAUCCCCAGCGCCCGGGAGCGCAGCCCCGGAUUCUCGUUUUUCGUCGAGUCUUCGACCCCCAUUGUGGGUCGCGCUGGCCCGCAAACUGGUCGUGCCGGCACCCCGGCUUCUGCUCCCUGGUGUUAGCAGUCAUGGGUGCGAGGAGUUGUGUGUGGGACAGGGGCAACUCCCUGCAAAGCCAACCAUGUGCUUCCAGGCAGCGCCUCAGCUUCACGCCUCGGACGGCACCUGAUACACUUUCCCGCUCUUCCCGUCAGGAGGUGGUACCCUUAGGGUACUCGGCUUCCAGUCCCAGGCCAAUCGCAACGCGCUCGGAGCCGAAAAGGGCGGGACAGAGGCAAGAAAGGGAGGUCCCCAUUGGAGCUUUCGAAAGGUCCUGGGCAUAGGCGGGACGCAAAGGAUGGUGACCCCGCCCCUCCCGCGAUCACCAUAGUAACCAAGAGGGCAAGGCUCGAGGUCGGAUCCGGUGCUCCGGCUUUGCUCUGUCCCUAAAGAGGUGAGCAGAUCAUCAGAAACAAGGAAUAUCUGAAAACUGUCACAACCAAGAAAAAUCUAAGGAAGAUAUGGCAACUAAAUGUAAAGGGAUAUCCUGGACUGGAUUCUGGAACAGAAAAAGGACAUCAGGGUGUUCUGUUACUUCCAGGAAAGCUUAUCUAGCACUGUAAGUGCAUAAAGGAAUGAUGGAUGGAAGAACACCCAAGCACAGUGCCUGGUACAGAGCAGGCAUUCCUAUAGGUUGGC